GCCGCCGCCGCCUGGGACUGGGGCUGCGACGGCGGCGGCGGCGGCGGCGCGCUGGGGCUGCUGUAGUCGGGGUAGCUGCCGCCGUAGCUCCUCAUCAUGGGGCUGGGCGAGAACGUUAGCCGCUCUGCCUCGAUUUGGGGCCAUCGGUGUAAUUCCCACAACUUCUCCAAAACUUGCGAGAGGAGGAAAGAGUUUCGGGGAAGGUCGGCCGCGUGGGUUCGGGGAGUGCGUGUCCUGGACACAGCAAGCGCCCAGGAAGUGCGGAGACGGACCGCACCUGCCCCAAAGAGGACGUUUACGUAACUCUUCUUUCCAGGCACCUUCUGUAUGCCUGUAGGCUUAGCAGUGCCUACAGACGCAAAAGUAUUCCCAGAGGAGCAUUUUUCUUAACGACAGGCGCUUGUCUCUCUCUAUCCUCUCUCUAAAGGGAAAGUCUUCGAAUAAGUAGACCGGUGUGUGCUAUGCUCCAGCUUGCACAUGGAAAUUUAACUAUCGGUGCCAUAAUAGGGACAGCUGAAGUUUAUCUCGUGUCUUCAUAAAUCUGUACGACGCCUUUCAUCAUAUUUCAGAGGUUAAUGUGCACAAUUAACCCUCUGGAUAGGAGUUCAUCUCUAAGCAAUGUGAAACAAAACUAAAAGAAAUACGUGUUAUGCCCAAUAAAUAGAAGAUCAGUAGUAAUGGAGAUGGGUCAGAUCUAGCCCUAGAGCAGAAAUGUUUCGGACCGUGUUCCUUUAAGAAUACCCUACUCUUCUGUCACUUUAGGGUGUUUUAAGUGUUUUUGUUAUUGUGAAUUCAUCACCUGGUAACCUCGUGGAUAUCUUCAAGCAGGCCUUCUGAACCUAAGCAGUGCCUCACUUGUACUAGUGUGGAACUCGUUUCCACGGAGAGAAAGCAUUUGAAACCAGAACUUUCCAAGAGGUCACACUAACUGAAAGGAUACAUGUGGGAGAACAUAGUUUUCUAAAGUCCCUUCAUCCCUCAGCUUUUUAUAAAGAUCGUUUUAGUUUAUUUCUACUGCAGCGGUUAUUUUUAUUUGCUUGCACAAGUGCAAAUAUGUUAAUGACUAAAUAGAAAACGAUGGCUGGGAAAAACUGGUGGCUAAUUGGUGGGGGAGGGGAAUCAGGUGCACACCCAAGGGUCAUUAUAGAGUGUACAAACAACAAAUCGCAAUUCCAUGCGAACAGCUGGAAAACAGGGGUUAUAUCAUUGUGUGUAAGAGAGACUAACAGAACUGUAAGAUGAAUUCAUGCCAAAUCAUUCAUCAGUUUUUGCCAAGAGAAUACUACAUCUUUGUUAGUGUGCCUUUUUGACACUUUCUCCUGGAUUUUCCCCCUUUAUACAUUCAAAUACGUACUGAUUAUACACAGUACACCACAAAAGUUGAAUUUUUAAAGUUUUUCAUAUGCAACUAUAAAUACAUGUCUGUUUCGUGUGUGAACACAUAUAUUCUAAAAUCAGCUACACAUUUAUGCUUUUAGACAUUUAGACCCAAACUAAACAUAUACAUAAUACAGUCACACGAAAGCAUUUAUCCAAAUUGAUAAAAUACGUCAAAGUCAAUUUAAACAGGUGUAGCCAUAUCUUGUGGCUUAUUUUCACAACUAAUCCUGAGAGGGAAACAUGAGUCACCCAAGUUUAGCUCUCUGGCCUUUUUCUUAGAAAUAUUUUUCAUAUAGAAAAAUCAUGGAACUAGAAAAAAAAUAUAUGUCAAGAUCUCUUUUAAUUCCAUUUGUUUCAGCAAGUCAAGUAGAAGAUUGGAACCAAGAGGCUAUGAAAUAGAGGCCCCCAGCACAAUGAAAUCAGCCUGCUAUAAAAGGCGACACAUGCCAGUUUCUCCUCCCCAAUGGCAGAUGCCACACCCUAAAGCAGACAGAAGGCACUGCAGUCUGUAAAGAGAAGCACAACACAAAGCCGGCAGGACUUGGUUUUGUCUUUUAAACCACAGAGAAUGCUAAAAUACCUUUUUUAAAGCACCCUUGCUGAAGAUAAGUAGUGGGCUCCUAUUCAUUCAACUUACAGUUUUUAAACACACCUUCUCAAGAAAACAAAAUAAAAGCCUCUCAGAGUUUCAUUUAAAAAUCCAUGGCUUCAUAGACAAAAACAGGGACUGUCAGGGGUCUGUUAGAAAGUGAUGAAACAGGUUCACAUUUCACAAAAAAAGCACAGUUUGAACCAGAGGUGAUAAUUCUGUUGUAUCACUUGCCUCAAUUAUCCUAUAUGGCCACGCUACCAAUAUUGUUUCCUUUGAUGAAAUAAGGCCCUUCAGAAAGUAACAGGUACAUUUUUCCCGAUGAAGUCCUUAUUUUUACACCUCUUGUGUAAUUUCAAACAAUGAUGACAACUUUAAUAAGUCACUCCGACCGCAAACCAACGGAGGUGAAGACCCGAAAGCUGGCAAAUGGCCACCGUGCCCCUGCCGCCACCGUCCCACCCACGGCUUGCCCUGAGCCCUCCUGUUUAGCCAGAAGAUUACCCGUUAUUUUCUUAAACACUCCAUUUUGGCGACAAAAAGGUUUGGUUUGUUUUGGGUUUGGGUUUUUUUUUUUUUAACUAUAUGAAAAUACUAAUAUUUAAAUACUCCUUUUGAAGAAGUUUUGGGCUCCGAAUAAAAGACUCUUCAACUUGCCCACUUCAAGAGGAUUGAGCCAGAUGGUAGUUGAAGAAUGCCACAGCUCUGUUCUUUUUGCCUCAUCGUCGUCGUAGCCCAUCAUUCUGUUUGCUUUCAGAUUAGUCCCCUUUUACUAUUCUGGUUAUUUAUUCGAUAACUGAAACUAUCACGAUUCACUAACCAUCAUAUUCCUCAGUAUUCUUUAUGUAAUUUGGAAGCAAUUUAGAAUUAAGUCCUGUCAAGGUUUUACAAAUAAGAACUAUUAGAGAAUAAGGCUUUGGAUACUUGCUUUCCUUUUAGAUUUAUGAGAAAUGCGAUGAAUGGAGCUAAUGGGAUUUCCCUACUGAUCUUGGGCAGGGACUUUAAAAAGCACUAAACAAUUGUCCUUUUCACUUCUCUGAUUUAGAUGUUAGCAGUGAAUAACUGAGUAAACGCAAGAUAUGGGACAUAGCAUUUGAUUUGAAACAACUAUGCAAAUUAACAGUGGUCCAAAAGUUUAGGAGGCAAACAAUUAGAAUUUCUUUUCAAUUAGAAUUUGAGAAAAAAUCUAGGCAAAAAUACUUUAAAUAAAUUUGGGGACUCUGACGGAUAGUAGCACCAUUGUACUUAGUAAGAACAGUAUAGCAUGGAUAAUAAACCUGGAUGGGAAUAAACUACACUUAUUUCACAAA